rnacentral:lncRNA from 1 species
UCCUCUUUGCUACUUUCUUGGAAUUGAGGUUUCUUCUAUUUCUGAUGGCUUCUUUAUUUCUCAAGAGAAGUACAUUCAGAAUCUUCUCGCUCGUGCUGCUCUUAGUGAUAGGGUCAUUGUUGACACUCUCAUGGAGCUCAACGUCCACCUUUGUGCUUCCGAAAGUGAGCUAUCAGGAUUGCGCCCAACCAUGUGAAGCUUGAGCUCACCAAGCAUAUUAAUGUCGAUGCCUCCUUCGUGCGUGUAGAAUCAGAUUAUUACUCUUCAGUAUGUGCCUUUCGAUUUACCCUUGGUCAGUUUCUUCAUGAAGGCCUAAACAUAAGCACAAGAGAGCUUUUACCUCUCCAAAUCCACCAACAAUUGGCUGGUUUCUACACGAAGAUUCAAACAAAGCACAACAUGGCUUAUAUCUCUCCAAAUUAAAUGUUGUUGAUCCACCAUGACCUUGAGGAUUUUGGUGUUUCUAUCACUACAUUACUCCUCGUGUCAUACCAUACAGUAGAUGAGCUAUCAAGAAUUCGCUCGUCUUAGUGAAUAAUUUUUAUGUUUGAUAUCUGUCCUCUUAGAUACUUCAUUGGAAUUGACGUUUCUCCUACUUCUGGUGGCUUCUUUAUUUCCGAAGAGAAGUAUAUUCAGGAUCUUCUCGCUCAUGCUGCUCUUAAUGAUAGGGCCAUUGUUGACAAUACCAUGGAGCUCAACGUCCACCUUCGUGCUUCUGAAAGUGAGCCCUUGUUUGAUCUGACGCGCUACCGUCAUCUUGUUGGGAGUCUUUCAGAGGUCACUUGUCCACACAUUUCAUAUCACGUCAUUCCAAGUCAGUUUGUUUCUGCUCUCACUUUGAUCCACUUGAGUCACCUUCCAUGUAUUCCAUGAUACAUUUGUGGAACUAUCUCUCACCUAUGCUAUAGUUCUACGAUAUCUUUGUGGAACUAUAUCUUCUUCCUAUGCUCAAGCUUGUUCGUUCCUUUGUAAUUAUUGUCUUUCUAAUUAUUGUGUUUUUCUUGAUGAUUUUCUCAUUGCCCGGAAGACAAAGAAACAGACAUCGCUUUUCCCUUUGAGUGCAAAGGUUGAGUUGCAAGCUAUGACUUCAUUGACAACGAAGGCGACUUGGUUAUGAUGGUUGCUUGAGGAGUUUGGUGUUUUUGGCACUAGAC